rnacentral:rRNA from 1 species
AGUGAACGCUGGCGGUAGGCCUAACACAUGCAAGUCGAACGGCAGCACAGUAAGAGCUUGCUCUUACGGGUGGCGAGUGGCGGACGGGUGAGGAAUACAUCGGAAUCUACUUUUUCGUGGGGGAUAACGUAGGGAAACUUACGCUAAUACCGCAUACGACCUACGGGUGAAAGCAGGGGAUCUUCGGACCUUGCGCGAUUGAAUGAGCCGAUGUCGGAUUAGCUAGUUGGCGGGGUAAAGGCCCACCAAGGCGACGAUCCGUAGCUGGUCUGAGAGGAUGAUCAGCCACACUGGAACUGAGACACGGUCCAGACUCCUACGGGAGGCAGCAGUGGGGAAUAUUGGACAAUGGGCGCAAGCCUGAUCCAGCCAUACCGCGUGGGUGAAGAAGGCCUUCGGGUUGUAAAUCCCUUUUGUUGGGAAAGAAAAGCAGCAGGUUAAUACCCCGCUGUUCUGACGGUACCCAAAGAAUAAGCACCGGCUAACUUCGUGC